rnacentral:tRNA from 1 species
GCGUUUGUAGCUUAGUGGUUAGAGCGUGUUGUUUCUAAGCAAAAGGUUGUGGGUUCAAACCCUUCCUGACGCA